CUAUCUACCAGGGUCAAUGUGCCUCUGCUGCACAAUACCAAAUGCAUAAUCAAUGCCUCAAAUGCACUAAUGCCAAAUGUAUAAUGUCUACAACAUGACAAUCGGGAAAAUCUACUAUCCCUAGGCUCAAAUGCCAUAGUGUUCCACUACACUAGAUUUGAUGCCACUCGUUUAUGUCAUGAUGUUAUAUGUGUCUUAAUACACUAAAUCGACAUGCCACUCAUCAAUAUUAUAGUGUCUUUGUUACACUAGUCCAAAUGCCACUCGUCUAGGCCAAUUACAUGUCCAGUUCAUCAUCAUUCUUGUCACUAUAGGAUUCUUGUCACAAGACCCCAUCCUCAUGCAACCUAAGAUCAAGUGUCAAGCCCACAAUGCUACACAACCUAGGUAACAUGCAAGGAAUGGAAAUGUAAUCAUCUACUAAUCCUAUAAUGCACAAUAUAUCAACAUAUAGGAAUAUGAUCAAAAUAUAGAACUUAGACAUAAAAGGAAGCUCAGUUGCUUCGGGAUGACACCCCCCACCUUUUAUAGCGUUCCGAUUGCUCGUCGUCACUUGCAAUCGGCCUCCCGCGGCGCACGCCGCACGGCUUGACCCAAUCCACGCGCAGCCACCUUACGACCGCCGAUUCGCGAUCCGUCUAUUCUGUAGUUUAUUCCCCGAUACCACGAUGCUACGAUUCUAUUUUCAUGAUUUUUGGAAGCUUUCGCCGCAAGCUGCGGCAAUCUGUACCUUAACGACUUCGUUCUUUAAUAUCUUCGCGUACGCUCGUCGUAUCGCCGAACCCACUUCGCCAACACGUCAGAAAACCUAGCAAUUAGGUUUAUAUAUGAUCAAUUUAGAUCAAACCCUCACAUAUUGCAAAAUCCUAUUUUUGAGCCCUAACAUGCAAUUACCCCCAAAUAAUCCAAAUUAAAUGGAGCAACAUGCUAAGAAUGCUCAUUAGAGGCUACUAGAACACUUAAGGUUAAGGAUUAAGUCAAAUCCCAAAAGUUUACCAAAAUAUGAACGCUGAGACGGAAGCACGCCACUCCAACGGGCGCACGAAAGCUCGAUCCGUCGCUCCCAACGCGUUCGCAAGCUCGUUCUCCGCCAACGCCGCGAAUUCGAGCAAAAGAUCGAGAGAGAUGAGAGAGUUAUUAGAGAGAGAAAGUGAGGAUUUCUCUCACUACCACCAUGAACGUGUGCUUGUGGGGGUGGUGGUGGCUGUGAAGAAGAAACCAAGUCACUGGAAGCUUCUACUUAUAGUCAACACCCCAAUAGUAGCAUACACUAUUCACUUCAGGUAGUUCGAAAUCUGAUAUCUUUCGCCGGAGCCCUCUGAAUAUCCAUUUGAGCUCAAAUUUGACAGUCAUGUUCGGUUUUGCUUAACUUAACAAAAAAAAUUUUAAUCUUUCAGUUUUGACCCCGUUUGGUCACCGAAAGCUAUACCGAACUGUAAUCAUUAUCAGAUAACUAUCGAAUUUUAUUUUUCACCUUCCGGGUGUCAGAAUGGCAUGAAACUUUAAAUCUAACCUCAUAAAAAUAAUUCUGACUUAUCCUCCAGUUUUCAUAAUUUUCUGACACUGUGCAUUUUCUGCUAACUUAUCUGCCCCGUUUCACACAGAAAAAUUCUAAAUAUUCUGUUUUCGCUCCGAUUUCAGCACAGGUCAUUCCCAACCUAUAUUUCACUUCUCUAAAUCCAAUAAAAAUAGUAUCUCAUACUAUUUUAUUUAUUUUCACUUUUACAUUUAAAAUCCGGUAUGUUAUAUUCCACCACAACCUCACCGGAACCAUUUAAAUGUACACCGUAAAUUCAUAGUUUUAGAAAUCCGAUACCCUACAUCCUCCCCUCCUUAAAAGGAGUUUCGUCCUCGAAACUCAAAUCUCAUCUCAAUUCGAGUUUUCGAGCAUCUGAGGGUAACAAUGCAUUUUUGCACUCCGGGAUGGCCUUUCUCUCAUCGGAACUACCCAAAGGCCGACUACGGAGGAUGUGAGACCAAACUCACUCACAUUUGCUAAGCACAACACCAAAUGUGCAUUACAAUUUCGUAAGUUUAGGUGGCAACGUAAGUCGACACUCGACGACUCUACACGCUCAACACCACUUGCUACCGAAUCCAGAGAGUACACUUCGAUUCAAUCACCGGCAUUGCCUAAAAGCAAUAUCACGAGUGCAUCGACCCAUCGUAAGUACUACCAUCACAAUCGAAUUUUGCUCUACUACGAGAUGGCACACUUCGGUACAUCUCAAAUGUUAAUCCUCAAGAGAGCAUAUCCUCAAGUCUCGCAUGGCUAGCCGCUAUUCGAGUGUCUCCAAGAGACCACUUUAUCUUCUUUUUCCAUUGCCACGGCCAACACCAAUUCGUUCCUGCAAUGAAUUCACACGAACACUUUGUUCGCGAAUCCAAGCCAAACUCCUAACUGAGUUACCGGCCAAACCACUCACCUCGGUUUUCCAUGGGUGGACCAAAGGUCACCAACCAUACGUAGGUCUACCGCCCAAACCUGUCUCAACACGUAGCGUCUCUCGCUCGCAAGCGUGGACCCAAUCAACACUAUUGGGCAAAAUUCUCACUUGGGAAUUCGCACACACUCCGACUAGGAGCAACUAUGACCCCAAACCGCUACCAAUCCUUGGGUCAGGUCACUACACACUCGGUGUGUCAUCGAUCUUGUAAUCCACAGGUGGCAUUCCACAUUCUCGAGUCUAAACUCGGACUACCUCCCUGACCAAAACUCUGCCCUACCCGUAGGUAUCAGGCCGCUGUCUCUCACAGCUGACUGUGCUUGCCCAAUGGGCCCAGGCUCCACAGUCCACAAAUGGUCCAGGCAUGGGUCGUCCCCAAGCAAUAGCCGUCAUCGUCGUCCUGCACGACAUGCUCUAUCGAGUCACACGUACCACUAUCGGCUCCUAUGCACCUAGUGCGAGCCACCAGCCCCACGAGUGACCCAUGGCCUGCUUCACACUUAGCAAUGCUAUAGUGCUACUGCCAUCUCACUCCCCCGGCUAAAUAGAAUUCGCACUCCACGAGUAUCUACACUCGAGCGCUCUACGCCUCUACAGUGUUCCACAUGAAGUCCAACAUUAGGCAAUCUUGCUUAUGCACACCGGCCGCACGAGCACAACCGCCUACCUCACCUUGAGGUACUACCAGGCCCACGUGCUCAUACUUGGCCACUAAUCUACCGCACUCUCAACAGUGAUUCUACUUUCACUGUUUAAUUUACCGGAACAAUAUCCGAAUUCUCGGAUUACUCGGGUGCCUACAAGCAUUAUGGCUCAACUCUAGCAAUCUACUGAUCAUGUUGCCUUGAGAGUCGCUUCACCAUUUCAUCUACACCACGAGUCUCAUUUCUCGUCCAUAGGCCACUACUAGCAAUUUGCUAGUGACGUCUCGCUCUCUACCUGCUCCAGCAGGCGCUAUACUCUCUCACACAGGUAUGCCCGGGUACCCUCACCUACCCGUCCACUGGUCCCUACUAUACUAAUGUAUAAAUAGUAGCAACUGACCAUGAAAAUGCAUGCAAUGCACCAAUUUAAUAUCAUGCAGAAACACACAUUUGCUGCAACUAAACCAUACCUGCCGUGGCAUCUUCGACAGCAGCAGGUUCCUCGACUUGAGCAGCAAACACCUGGCCACUCGGAGUCGACUGGGCCACCUCCGACUGACGAGGUGCCAUCACACGUCCAACUGACGCAACAGUUGGUAGGGCUCCUCCAUAAUGGCCCGAAAUCGCCAAAGACGAUGCAACAGACGGGACAGGCGAGGUCCUCCUUGGACAGUGGCGGCUGAUGUGUCCCGCCUGACCACACGUGAAGCAUUUUCCCUCUUUUUGCUCGCAAUGGUUCGGAUCAUGUUUACCUCCACAAAUGACACACUUCCGAGUCCCACAACUCUGGGACCGUGCUCGCGGGUACUUCGAAGGCUUCUUAGACCUUGACUGACCUCUCGAGCCGUCAGAGGCUCGCUUCUUACCGCCAUCCCUCUUGGACGCCUCUCGCUCCUCGCGGACGUGGGCAUUACUAUGCUCCGCCCACAACGCUCGAUCGAGCACUUCCGCAAAUGUAGUGAGCUUCAGAAUGUGAACCGCUUUAUAUAUAUCCGGUCGGAGUCCUCUCACGAACCAGUUGGCCCAAUCUCUGUCGUCUCGCACCACGUCGGGGACGCCGUCGAUAAUAUGUGAGAACUCCUGCUCAUACUCUCCGACCGAGCAGUUUCCUUGCUUUAACUUUCGGAAUUUAUCUUGGAGCUUCUUUUUCUUACUAUUGGGGAAAUAGUUGACAUAUAACAAGCUCCGAAACUCUUUCCACGUCAAUGGCGGAAGGUCGGGAGACCGAUCUCGCUUGACCCGCUUCAACCACACCUUCGUCGCCCGCUCCAUGCAAUGUGUAGCAAGGGGAACUUUAUCCUUCUCUAGUAUAUAGAGAUCUUCAAAAAGAGUCUCCAUUGAGUCCACCCACGACUCGACCAUCCAAGACUCAACCUUCUUCUCGUUGAACAUCGGCGGACUAAACUUUCGAAACUUCAUAAGAGCCGCAAGUGCGCGCUCCCUCUCGGCUUCCAUAGCUACACCUUCGGGAUUUAAUGUCCCCGAACUGGCAGCCACCAUCGCCGGCGUGGGUUGCGCCGCAACUGGCACAGCUGCAGUGGCCACACCCUCUGUCACGACGGGCACGACCACCGGAGGCGCGGGCCGCUCAACAUUCGCUUGAGCCGACGCCAGCUGCGCUACCAACUGUUGUAGCCUCGCAAUCUGGUCCUCUUGGCGCUGCAUCGCGCCGACCAUCGAAGCGAUCUGCGCUCGCAAUUCCCGCACUUCUUCAGAUCCCGACUGCUCGGGCACCUCGGGAGGUGGUGCCAAAGUGGAUCUAGUCGCGGGGCAUCUCUUUGGUGCCAUAGUUCCUGAAACACGACCACUUGGUUAAUCACCUUAACUCGUUAAUCUUGUGGCAACUACUAGACAACGCGACUCAAAUCAGGCAGAAGUCAUACAAGGGUGCCUAUUCUCAUCACUAGGUUUUAUGUUGUCGCGCGCCAACAUGAACACACUUGGUUGAGAAUAUACCACAUCUUGAGUCUCCCUCUAACAUCCGUUUUAGAGGUAUACUAUCUUAACCCAAUCGAUUCAACUUCCGCCACCGUUAUAGGUUCACGUUCUACUCACGCACCUAUAACCUUACGGUUUACCGUCCUAGGGUCUCCUAAGUCAUCCUAGACUCUCUCUUUACUUACUCUUAGCUUGCUCUGAUACCAACAACUCUGUCACGCCCCGCCCCAAAUCCAAUACUAAUUUGGCACGGUUCGGGCGCACCGGACGGACCGCCGAACGGACAGCACCUCUCCUGUCCGCCCAAGGCCAAGCAACCAAAUCAUGUACAGUUAAGCGCCCAGGGAAUGCUUAAAUAACAUACAUGAUCGAUACGAUGCACACAAGUGCAAUACAUCUAAGAGCAAGAACCACAAGUAAUAUACAAGUGUAUAAAGAGAGAUAGUCUAACUAUCACUACCAUUCAACAUUUACAUCAUUUGAAUAUAUUACAUUUUCAUCUUCCAAAUGUAAAUACAUAUUUGCCUCAAAUACAAAUAGCUCUCCAAUAACUAUCCAAAACAUCAUCUAGUACACGAGGGUACUCUAAUGCAUAAAGGAAAAGCUACUAACUAGGCUCACUUAGGGCGCUAUGCCCUUGCCGCUGUCCUCGCUCGGCUCGCCUCUGUGUGUACCUGUACCCCAAAACCACAUGGGGUGAGAACUAUAUAAAUAUAGUUCCCAGUGGGUUCGGCCGCCGACGCCGCCGGUUUUUCUACUAGGUCUAAGCUGGCACAGAUAGAGAGAUAGAUAGAUAUGUAAAGAGAUAAACUGCAGCUACUCUAUCAUGCCAUCAAUGAUGAUAAUGCAUGCAACAACAACUAUCAUACCAGAAUCAUGUCAUGAGUAUAUAAAGUACAUAGCAAUGCAAUCUACAACAUACACUAAGUCUACUCGAGGUAAUAAUGCAAGUCUACUAUGCAUCUCAUGGUAUGAAUGCAAUCCACUUAUGCUAUUCAUGUUACAAUAAUAAAGAAAUGAGCUGCUACAUAGUGAUGUAUCUGCACAUGCUACUAUGCCUCAAUAAUCCGAAUGAACGAGCUACUACAUAGUGCGUCGUGCAAUUAUGCCUCGAUAGUAUCCAAUCAUGGCAUGAAACUUUAAAUCUAGCCUCAUAAAAAUAAUUCUGACUUAUCCUCCAGUUUUCAUAAUUUUCUGACACUGUGCAUUUUCUGCUAACUUAUCUGCCCCGUUUCACAUAGAAAAUUCUAAAUAUUCUGUUUUCGCUCUGAUUUCAGCACAAGUCAUUCCCAACUUAUAUUUCACUUCUCUAAAUCCAAUAAAAAUAGUAUCUCAUACUAUUUUUAUUUAUUUUCACUUUUACAUUUAAAAUCCAGUAUGUUAUAUUCCACCGCAACCUCACCGGAACCAUUUAAAUGUACACCGUAACUUCAUAGUUUUAGAAAUCCGGUACCCUACAAAAGUACACCCUAAUUAGUUCUAAAAAUACAUCUCAACUAAAUGAAAACAAGCUUGCAUGGGUUCAUCUUUUCAACAUCGAGGAGGCUCUAGUUAGUCGUUGACCCCUUGCCACGAACCCUAGCCUUUCCCGCUGCGGAAGGCUCUUCAUAAAAACAACCAAUAAAUAGGGGUGAGAACUAUUAAACAAUAGUUCCCAGUGGGUAAGCCGCCAAGAGUGGCGAAGUACACCACUAGGUCAACUGAAGCAGGAGUAAACUACAAUAAAUAGAACAAGUAAGUGCAGCGAAUAGAUACAAUGAAUCAAUCAUAAACCUACUUCAACAUGAUAUGUUUUCUAACAUGUCAUACAUAAUAAUCAUUACAUAUACCAGUUGAUAUUUUAUACUCAUUACAAGUUGUUCACCUUUAACUAUAUGUCAUGAUUCAUGCAGAAAUUCAUUAUCACAGUUAACUAGCUAAUGAUACCACAUAGCUAUUCCCUAUACUAACAGGAGUGUAAACAUGUAAAUACUGUCAUUACAACUAAUGACUAACAGGAAUGUCAAUCUUCUAGUAUAUUCAUUACUAGGUAUCUCUCAACUAAUGACAUAAAGCACCUUUACUACUAUGUCCAUCUAAGGUUAAACUCAUUUACAUUAACCCAAUUAACAAGCGACUUACACGUGGUAAAGUCCUGGCUCGUGUCGUGCCUAAUGGCCCCGUGGAAGUCAACACUAUCCACGGCAAUCCACUUCGGCUCUCAAUCUCAUACAGGCGAUCUGUUGUCGCAUAGGCCAACUCCGGAGUGCCGGCUUGUGGGGCGCGACCCUCACAAGUAUGUGCGAAUGAGCACAUUGGCAAGCAAGCGUAAUCCAUAGCAUAAGGUUCAUAGGUCUCAUACCCAACAUCAUGUCUCUAACAUGGAAUUUAGACUUCGACACAAGGUCGGCAAUUAAUAAUAAAGUCACAUUCUACUAUCAACUACUUGGUGACAUAUUUCUACCAAUAGAUAGUAUGACUUAAUCAAAUACAUGGUUUACAUCAUCUUGAUGAUUCUAACGGGCUAUACCCGCAUGCUCACAUAUACUCCUCUCACUACUUCCUAUACAUAAGAAAAGUGGUUUACUAAGCUCAUAAACAAUGACUCACUCUGGGAUUCAUACAACUCAUGGCAUAUAUUCUAUAUUUCUAAACCUCCACUAUAAGGAGUAAACAAGUAUUAUGCAAAUAUUUCUACUUGACUACACAAGUAUAUCAUUUCACGACCCAUAGGUCAGAAUCUGUAUCAUCAUGUCCAAUUCUAGUUAUUUAACUAGGUCCUAUUCAAUAGCAUAAAAUUCAUGUUAACUCUGUCAUGUGAAUAUCAUAAACAACUUGUCCUUACAUACAAAAAUUCAAGUAAGGUAGUCUACACAUGAUCUCUAAACCAUUCAUUCCAUAAUUUAGGAGUAUAACCUCGUUAAAUAUAAUAUGCACAGAAGUCCUGUCGUCAUGUCUAUAACAUGGAAUUACAUAAUUUACUCAAAAGUUAAGAACAAUAUUAUCUCAUUUACUUGGUUGCUCAUCCGGUUAAGUAUCAUCUUCAUAGCUUUACAUCCAUUCACUUAUUGAAUGAUGCAAUAUUUAACUUGUCUACACAAGUAUGCUACUAUCAUAUAAUGCAUGCUAAACAAGCAAGUGAUCUAUACAUGCUAAUAGACAAGUUUCAUAAUUUCUUCUCUACUACAUAGAGGUUUCCUUCAAUCCGACGUAAUAUGCAUUUCAUGCAUACACCAAUCCAUUCACACAUAUAUCCACAUGAAUAUACAACAAUUCUAAUUCAUAAUGCCAAAGAAGACAUAAAGGGAAUUUACCCAUUUCGGUAAGGUCAAACCCAACGAAUACAUGCCGACUCGUGUCCGAUUCCUCAAAUGAUGGUGAGCACAAGCCUCACAGCCACCUAUCACAAAACUAAUUCCAUUAGGAGUUUCUACUAAGUUCACCACUAGUGAACCCCAAUAAUCCACCUAAUAUAGAUAGAAUCAUACCUUAUAUAGCAUCACACCCUAGGGGACACUCCACCCCAGGUUCGGCACCUCCAAACCAACUUAAAAGGAAGUUACACAACAUCCAAAUGAGAUUUCACAACUCUGCUGUGAACUAACUCAAUCCACUCUCACUACUAAACCAAUAACCAUAUAGCAAAGAGAGGUUCAAAACUAACCCUUCAAAUCACCUCUCCCAGAGUUAGAGUUGAAUAUUUACUCUACAAAACUCUUGCUCUUCACAGCUGCAGCUGAUCUAAAGUCCUCCAAAUCAGCUAACACAAGGAGAAGAAAGAAAGAGCUCAAAUCCAAACAACAUCAUGUACACAUAGGGUAGCAUGUAGAGAUUAACCUUCUAACUUCCAACCAAGCUCACCCCUAACUAGGUUGGAGGAUAAUCCUCAGCAAAACCUCUUUCCUCACGUUCUCAUACCAUCAAGAAGCUCCCAACCAGCUAACAUAAGAAGGAGAUAAGAGAAAAAGGCUCAAAUCCAAGAAAUUCCACUCAAAAAUGAAAUAAAACCCCAGAGAGAGAAACCAGGGGACUUACCCUGCCUCCACAGCUCAAACAUAAUAAGAACCAGCUAGGGAGGUUGGCCAGGGGGUUUAAAAGAUAAGCAUCCAAGGGAAAUUACCAAAACCCCCCUUAUCCACAUUCUGUCGCCUGGAGUACCGGUACGCGGGAUGGGGUACCAGUACUCAGCCUCAGAACAGCAACAACCCGAGCGCCCUGCGCAACUGGGUUUUUAUAUAGGGUACCGAUACCAGCAUGAUACAGUUCCGAUACUCAACACCCAAACCUAAACUUUUCUAGAUUUUAGUCGUAAUAGCUUAUCCCAUCGUUUAACCCUUUAGGUUAAUUACCGAUAAGCUCACCAAACAUCUAGAGUAACUCCAGUUGCCCUUCUAACACUAGAACCUUGCAAUUUGCUAAAGUUCAGUGUACUACAGCGAGGCUCAUUCCUAGCGAGGGAAUGUUGACUACCACGGGGUCAUUAGGCACGGCACAAGACGGGACUUUACCACGUAUAAGUCCGUCGUUAAUUAAACUUGAAAUUAAGAUGGACAUACUAGUGAGCUGUUACCUUGAUACACUGCUUGAUGCAUUCGUGUAGUUGGUCAUUGUUUGCAUUAAUAACCUUAGCGGUAGCAAACCUAUAUUCAUGAUAACUAGUAUAGAAAUGUAUCUUUAUGAUGACAAUAGCUAUUUGAUGACCGUGACAAUGUAAGACUUUCACGUUAACUAUGACAUAUAGCUUAAAGAUAAACAAGCAUGUAAAUCGUGUAUAUAAUACUUGCGCAUGUGAUAGUUGAGCAAUACACUUGUUAGUGAACAUAUUAUGUAGAUGCAUGUUUAUAAUUGAAUCUAUUCAAUUACUGGUUGCAUUUACAUGUACUUCUUCUUGUACUUUAUUCAAGCCUCAGUUGACCUAGUGGUAUAUUUUGUCACUCCCGGCAGCUUACCCUUUGGGAACUAUUGUGUAAUAGUUCUCACCUCCAUUGUUUGAUUGUUUUUAUUUCAGAGCCUUCCGCAGCGGAAAAAACUAGGGUUCGUGACAAGGGGUCAACGACUAGCUAGAGCCUCCUCGAUGUUGUGAUAGAUGGAUCCGUAGAAUUCUUUAUUUGGUUUAGUUCAAGGAUGUAUAAUUGUACUUUAUUUGAGAUUUCCUAGUAUUCAUGUUGUCCCUAUUGAUUAGAUUAUUGUAGUCAUUGAGAUGUAUUUGUUUUGGGUUUAUGUAGCUAGUUGAUUUUUGUUCUCGCUCUGAUUACUAUGUGUGGGAAUGGUACAUACUUCUCUCUAUGUUUGUUGUAAACGCCUUGUGUGCAUCGGGGGUGUUUGGGGUACACGGUAACUCUGUGCAUGCACCCGGCGGGCUUUCGCUGUAGUCCGGGGCGUGACAUUAUUACUUAUAAUUAAUUAACUAAUUAACUAAUUAACUAUUAACAAUUUAAUGUGUUUAUCCAUAAACUAAUAUUUAUAUUAAUCAACCAUUAAUAUUUGUAUUAAUAUAAUUACUAAAUUGGAUUGUUUGAAAGAUGAAGUUGCACUGUUUGAGACUAAAUUGUACUAUUUGAGGCUGAAUUUUACCAUUUAAAACUAUAUGAGACUAAUUAAGUUGCAUUGUAAAAAUAGAUCUAAGUUGCAACAUUUGAAACUAAGUUGUUUUGUUUGAAACUUAAGUUGUACUAUUUAAGAAGUUGCAACUUAAUCUCAAAUAGUUUUAAAUAGUGCAACGUAAGUCUCAAAUAUUGUAAUUUAAUCCCAAGCAGUAUAAUUUUUAUUUUAUGUAGUGCAAUUUAGUCUUAUAUAGUUUUAAAUGGUUUAAGUUAGCCUAAAACAAUGCAAUUUAAUAUCAAACAAAGUAAUUUUCAUCUCCAACAGUACAGCUUCUUCUUCUUUUUCUUUCUUCUCUAUUUAUUAUCCUUUUCUGUAACGGCCACAACACACAUGACAGCCUUCCAAAUGCAAACUUAGUCUAAUUUAUACUUAUACAUGAACUUGUAUCUAUCACUAAUAAGCAGGUGUUGUUUGGUUGGGGGUUAGGAGGGGGGUGAUAAUUUAAUUUUUAAAUUUAAAUUUUAAAUUUUAAAUUUAAGAAUUUAUAAUCUUAAUUAAUAUUUAUAAUUUUAAAUUAUAAAUUUUUUAAAUUUAAAUUUGAGAUUUAAAAUUUAAAUUUUAUUUUGAAUUUUUUUUAAUUUUUAAAGUUAUAUAUUUAAAUUUAAAAUUUGAAAUAUAAAUAUUAAAAAAUUUAAAUUCAAAUAUGAUGAGCAAUAUCUUUAUUUUCUAUUUAUAACUACCCACUAUUUUUCUUAUUCCAUCUUAUCUAUCCAAACGCUAUUUUUUUUAUUGCCGGCAACAAUUUAAUAAUUUUAUCCAAACAUAAAAUUAAUCUAUUCCAGACUUAUAGCUAAACUUAUACAUAUCUCUGUAAUAACUAGUUAUUACUUAAUCCCGAACUAAACAAAGCCUUACGUUACAUGGGUUUAUUUGACAUGUCACAUUUUUAGACUUACCUGGGGGGCGGGGGCCUAGUUGGACCAGAACUCUCCUGACAACUAAUAUUUGAGCCGAUAGUUUGGCAAUCCUGGAUUAUUUCUUUUAAGUGGUCAAGUCCAAUUAAGUUAGUAACUCUUGCAAAGUACAUGACCAACUUGCUAAGAGCAAUCACGUACGAUAGUGCGGCAUGACGGCUUGGUACACCCAAAAAAGAUAAGUUGGAGAGGCAAAAUUAAGUUGGGCAUGUGCACUGGGAUGGUUGGUGCACCCAAAACAGUUAACUUGAGAAGCUCUAGCCAAGGAGCUAGCCUAUGCUUCGGUUACAUCUUCCCCUUUAAACUCAAUUUUGUUUUACUCUUUGAGCAUUAAACUAAGUCACUCUUAGUUAUUCUCCAAUACAUGCCCUUCAAGCUCUUUCUUAAGUCAUCGUGCAUAUGCAUGAAUUCUGUCAUCUAAGCUGAUGCACCUAACUCGAACCCCUCGAUAGUCAUGCAUGCCUAAUCCGUGUCUCUCGAACUUAAUGUUUUGAGUGCACCAACCAUUCAAGCUUAUGCGUCUAACCAGCGACUCUUGGGUUCGGGUAUGCCAAACUAUUAUAUCGCAUUAUUACAAUUCCUCUUAUGAGCUUGUUAUACCCACAAAAGUUACUAACUCACCUACGCAUUACCGUUUAGACAAAUAAGGCAGGAUCGUCGAACCUUUGGCUCUAAUACUACUUGUUAAGGAGCACGCAUAAACCUAGAUAAACUAAUUCGCAAUGAUUCAAAAAGCCCUUAAAGGACAUACAUUGAGGAAGAACAAAGAAGUGACUCGAUAUACAGUACUUAGAGAAUGAAAAAAUUAAGUUUAGGGUGGAGUUUCUUUGGUUCGCAUGUGAAAAUGAGAGAUUGUUAAGAGUUCGUAUUUAAAUAGUUCCACAUCAGAUAAUUAAUGGGUCCAGACGUAGAAUUAAGUUUUUUAGUUGGAUGAGCUACAUUAGUUAUGUUACAUCCUUAGACCUAUAUAGGCUUGUGCUAGGCCAAAAACUGUAUAACAUAGUUUUCUUCUGUUAGUAGUCUACUUUAUUAUGGUUCUAAACGAUUCUCGAAAUCAUGUAUAUUACAGAAAUUGAGCUGGAACAUGACUUAGGCGCACUUAAACUUUGCAGGAAGUGAAUUUAAUAAUUUUUUAGGCACCGUUUGGUUCGGGGGAUAAGCGGGGUUAAUGAAAGUUAUCCCCGCUAUUCCGCCAAACGGGAUCAUUUUUUACCGGGAUAUUUUAUUCCGGUCAAAGCUUGCUAUUUCCUGUUAUCCCGGAAUAGCAAGCUUUUUACUAUUCCACCAUUUUGGUGGAAUAGUGCUAUUCUUAUGCUUAAUUUCAAACUUAAUUAAAAUUAUAAAAUAAAUUAAAACUAAAUUAUAUAAAUAUAAUAUAUUAUAUAUUAUAAUACAUUAUUUUUAUUAUAAAAUUAUUAAUUGUGCUAUAUUAAUACAUAUUAUUUAUAUUUAAAUAUUAUAAUAAAUUUUAUAAUAAAUUAUAUUUAAAUAUUAAANNNNNNNNNNNNNNNUUUGAUCGACUAUACUAGCUACGAUGUUUAAUUCUGGUUUUAACUUCUAUGACAAGAUUCAUCAAUAUUUUUUUUUAAUCUCAAAUUAGUUAAAACUAAUGAAAUUAAUGUUGAAAUUGUUCUUUUUUAGAUUAAUUAUAGCCAGCGUCUUCUACGGGUUAAAACUCUGUUGAGUUAAUAAUCUAUUUAUUGAACCUACUUUUAACCCAAUAAUGACCCUUAUUCUUUUUAUUGCAAACCAAUCCAUUCUACCUUAUUCUAAAUUUCACCCAUCAAUAUUUAUUUUUAAUUAUUAUAGAAUAUUGGUUAAUUAUAAUCAUUCAUUUAAUGACUAGUUGAUGAACUAAAAAUUAAUUUUGCUUCGCGAAAGUUCAAAUUUCUUAUUUAGAUCAUAUUUAAUAUUGUCUUUUCAGACAUACUAUCAUAAAAAAUGAUUUAAAAGUAUUAAGAAUUAAGAACUUAUAAAAAUAUUCUGCAUGUUACAACUAUACAUCAAUGUGUGCGUAUAAAUAUAGGGCGCACACAUUAUCAGGUAUUGCAAGGCUUAUAUUUCUCCAGCCAACAUAUAUUAACCCAAAAUUCACGAAUUAAACAAAAAGAUUAAUUUACUAAGAAAGAAGACGCGCGCUCUAGAAGUUCAAUAAAGUAAAAUAAUGCGUAGCAAAAAUCAUUAUAUGCAGUGUAAUUGUAUUGAAUCUGGUCAAAUAUCUUAAUAUUUUCUAACCCUAUAAUUAAGGUGCUCUCCAAUCCUAUAAUUAAGGUGCUCUCUUUUUGAAUUUUUGCCCUGGGUGCAAGUGGCUUUAGAAAAGUAACGGACUAGAUUUUGUAUGUUACUUUUAACCUUCUAGGGAGCAUAUAUUCACAGCAUAAUCGUGUUUCUUCUUUUCUAUAUAUCUUCUUCUCACACACUAUAUAUACAUGCAUGCACAAUACUUAUGAACUCCUAUUAUCUCUAUGACAUUAUUGGCAACAUCAAACCCGAGUCCAUGUGGCCGAAAUAUAUUGCACAAAUUUAUUAUUUGAAACACUUUAGUGGAUUUGAGCAUAAUAAUAUAUAUUAACCUUUUACUCUUCAAAUAAAAUUAUUUCAUGUGAAACUAUCCCUCUCCAAGCAUUUCUAUUUGCACUAAACAUGCAUGGUUAGAGUUCCUAGAUUUGAUCAUGUAUAAUGCAACUAAUUAAUGCGUAAGGAUUCUUGCAGUUAAUAUUAUGAUCAGUAUUUUGUUGUUUUAAGAAUUAAUCUUUGUAAUUUUAAGAACUAAUUAAUUAAUUACACUUUAAGUUCUUGAGCUUCCGAUUGAUUGACUACCAAUUUAGUUCCUAUACUUCUAAAUCUUAUAUUUAAAGGAGUGCGUCUGGUAUGCUUCUGGAAGCACGGAACGCUCCGUGCUUCCAAGUUGUUUUUGAUAUUCGGACUUUCAAAUCGACGAUCGGCUCCGUUAAACUAGAUCUAAAAUAUUUGAAGUAUUUAGAAAAUAAAUUUUGCGAUUUUUCGAUAUCAUUUGCCUAGUAAUCGAAGUGGCUCAAUUAAAAUCAAUGGCUGAAAAUAAAAAUCUUACAAAAUAUGAUGAUAUGACAUUAAAAUUUUAGAUCAAAGUUAUUGAUCUUAUUUUAUAUGGUAUAAAGAAUUUUCUAUCAAAAUUUCAUAUGAUUUGAAUAUUUCUACACCGUUAAACUUGCAAACGGCUCACCACGGCUAUUAAAAUUAUUGAUUUUGAGCCCCUUCGAUCACUAGGCAAAUGAUAUCGAAAAAUCACAAAAUUUAUUUUCUAGAUACUUCAAAUACUCUAGAUCAACUCUAACGGAGCCGAUCGUCGAUUCGAAAGUCCGAACAUCGAAAACAAAUUGGAAGCACGGAGGGCUCCGUGCUUUCAGAAGCAUACCAGCCCACUCUAUUUAAAGAUCCAUAUUAUACUAAGAACUAAUUAAUUAAUUAAUUACACUUUAAGUUCUUGAGCUUCCGAUUGAUUGACUACCAAUUUAGUUCCUAUAUAUACUUCUAAAUCUUAUAUUUAAAGAUCCAUAUUUUACUAAGUUCGACAAUAUAAACAGUCGAUACAGUUUUAGACCUAGUUUAGUAAUAUGGUGACUAAAAAUAUCAUUUUUAUAUAUAUUAUGAAAGAUUUAAAAAAAAAAAACUUAAAACUUCUUUCAUUCUUUUCUUUGUUUGUACUAUAAAAUUACAAUUAUUGCAGCCCGCCACCAGAAAAAAGUGUGUAAAUGUUUUUAAAUUUUUUGAAUCUUUCAGUAUAAAAAUAGUGCCUUUAUCAAACUAGACUUUAAUAGUUUAUUUAUUAUGUCAUAUUUACACCACAUUAUCAGUAACAAACCAAUCACAUCACUUUUUUAGAGAAAAGUAUAAUAAAAAUAUUUUUUCGAUAACUAUGAUGGAAUGGAUAAACCUUAAAAGAAUAACUUGAUUGAUUGGGAAUAUCAUAUUAGUAAUAUAAUUGGUACAUUUUAGACUUUUCCAAUUUAAGGACUAAAACUAAAAUAACCCUUAUUAUAAUUACCAGAAAGGAAAAUUCUCUGUCCGGUCCAUUAGACCAGGUCCGCUCGAUAUAUAAUUUCCCAAGUAUAUACAACGUAUAAGGUGAAGGUACGUACAUAUAUACAGUAUAGAGUACGUAGAAAGAGAGAGAGAGAGAGAGAGAGAGAGAGAGAGAGAGAGAGAGAGAGGAUUGUGUUUGUUUGUGUAUCUCUCGCUAUAUGCGUAUAAUAAUGUUACUCUUUCUCUCCGAAAGGAUUAAAAGGUGUUGAUUGCCCUUUUGGAAAGGUAUAUUAUUAUUGUCGCAUGCCACUCCUCUAUCUCCAUGCCUAUAGAAAGGGAGGAGGAGCGAAGAGCAAUUCAGUAGUUGAGUGUGAAAGAGAUCUAGCUAGAGAUCAUGGGGAACAACGGGGAUCCUUCCUCUUCUACGUCCCAUGAUCACCACCACCAUUUCCGAUCCUACCAACAAGAAGAAGAUCAUGAGCAGGUAUUCCUACAACAACAUCAGCAACAGCAACAACAGCAGCAGCAGCAGCAGCAACAGUUUGCUGCCGCUCUUGACUCCACAAAUAACAAUACCAACACAAUUACCGGACACGGCGGAGGCAUAGAAGGCGGUGGUGGCGGUGGCGGUGGCGAAGGCGAAGGGUUCGCGUGGUCGAUUCCUUCUAUGCAUCACCAUCAUCAUCAUCAUCAAAUAAGUUCCUUUCAAAACCCGUUAUUCCAUUCACUCCCACCGCUACCGCCGCCGCCGCCGCCGCCGCCUCCUCCCCCUCCGCCGCCCCCUACGUUCUACGGAGACCUCUAUGCAAGAAGGGCAUCCGCCGCCUUACAAUUCGCUUACGACGGAGGCGGCAUCGGAUCAUCGUCAUCGGAUCCCUUCGGACUAGCGGGGCUCUACAUGGGACCGGAGGCGCUGGUCCGCACCGGGGGGUUGGUGUCGUCGUCGUCGUCGCCGUUCAACAUCGGGCUCCAUCGGGAGCUGGGGAAGAUGACGGCGCAGGAGAUCAUGGACGCCAAGGCGUUGGCCGCUUCCAAGAGCCACAGCGAAGCCGAGCGGCGGCGGCGCGAGCGAAUCAACGCGCACCUCGCCAAGCUGCGCAGCCUCCUCCCCAGCACCACCAAAGUAAGCACGCAUACAAACGCACAAAUCUGAAGUUCACGGUCAUUUUGAUCACCAUUCUCGAUAUAUACGUAGCUAGGCAUAAAGAUGUAGUAAUUCAUAAUAAAAUAAGAUGGGAUUAAGCAUUGCUCUAUCCAAUAUUACUUAGAUUUCCAAAGAGUAGGGAGCUAGCUAGUGACAUGUACAUACACUAGGUAUGCUAUAGCUAGAGAGAAAGAGAGAGAGAGAGAGAGAGAGAGAGAAAGAGGGAGGGACAAAAGGGUAGAGAGGAGCCGCCUAGUUGACAUGAAAAAGAGGAACCAGGGAGGAGGGAGGAGGCAGUGGAGCAAAAAGCUUACACAGAAGAUGCUGUUGCCGGAGCACAGUAAUCCUAAGAAAGACAAACACGCGCACUAGUGUCAGAACAGAGAAAGAAAAAAAAAAAAAAGCCACCCACUACUCCCAAUAUAUAUCCUUCUCCUCCUCCUCCUCCUCCUUAACCACCCCACACAGUUACCCACAUAUACACAAAAAUUCCAUCCCCACAUCUGCAAGCGUGCAUGAUGCUUAAAGCCUCUCUCUCUCUCUCUCUAGAUCUCUCUCUCUCUCUCUCUCUCUCUCUCUCUAUAAUUCCACUACUAUUAAAAAAUGACUGUGAACCAGGCCAUGUAGUGAUCGUGUUACUAAUAUAUUCUACUUAUGAUUACCCGUGUCUGAAUCCCACUAGGAUGGAUCCCUAGCUUAUUGCUGUUGUUGCACUGCAUGCUACUUUCGUUGUCAGGCUCAUUUGCAUGCUCUUGGUUAUUAUUAUUAUUCUGUACUGGAGCUCAUCUUUCCCACCAACCCACUUCCCCCUCUCUCUAAUAAGUUAAUCAUGCAUUUAGUUUAAUUAGAUUUAAAUUCAAUUCAAUAUAGUCUCUUGAAUUAUAUUUCGAUGUGCGUACGUACGUAGACGGACAAGGCGUCGUUGCUUGCGGAGGUGAUCCAGCACGUCAAGGAGCUGAAGCGGCAGAUGUCGGAGAUCGCGGAGGAGAGCGCGCCGCUGCCGACGGAGUCCGACGAGCUGUCCGUCGACGCCGCCAGCGACGACGAAGGGAAGCUCGUCGUCCGCGCCUCGCUCUGCUGCGACGACCGCUCCGACCUCCUCCCGGACCUCAUCAAGACCCUCAAGGCCCUCCGCCUCCGCACCCUCAAGGCCGAGAUCACCACCCUCGGCGGCCGCGUCAAGAACGUCCUCGUCGUCACCGGCGACACCGACACCGACAACGACAACGACAACGACAGCGCCGCCUCCGCCUCCGCCUCCGCCUCCGCCGCCGACGACCCCCAGCCACCGCCGCCGCCGCCGCAGCAGCAGUCUCUCGCCUCAAUUCAGGAUGCGCUCCGGGCCGUCAUGGAGCACCGCGCAGCCUCGGCCGAGGAGACGACGUCGGCGGGCGGCGGAGUCAAGCGGCAGCGCACGACAAACCUCUCCAGCAUACUCGAGCACAGGUCCAUCUAAACUAACACAAAUUAAACACUAUCAUCGAUCAUAAGCUCUUACAUAUAUAUAUAUAUAUAUAGUAACCAACCAUAUAUAAAUUGCAAACAACUAUGUUCCUUGCUCUUGCCAUUUAAGUGUUUGGGCCAAUAUUUAAUUUAUAUAUACUGCUGUGUUGUUGUUGUCUUUGCGUAUCUCAAACCAAAGAAGGAAACGACUUUUGAGUACUCGUGGGUAUGAGAUUUCCUGCAGAGGGGGAAGGGAUGGGUGGUGCUUAGCUAAAAAGGGGUAGGGUGGAUCUUUUUCGUGAGAAGGGUGGGGUUGGGCAUUAAAUAGCCUGAUGCCGGAGAAAGAGUUGAGUUAAUGCAGUGGACGUAGGUGUCGUUUAUAUAUAUAUAGUACCCUUUCUUUGCUCUGAGGGGUUUGUGCAGCGUGUUGCAGUGGUUUCUUCUCUCCCCGUGGUCGGUUUUGUUGUUUAGUAUAUGGAAGGGAAGUAGUGCGUCAUGCGAAGUACGUCCAUGGCCGUGUAUGACGCGAAACCCUAGGCAUGCACUUCUCUCUCUCUCUCUCUCUGUACAUCUCUCUCUCUCUCUCUCUCUCUCUCUCUCUCUCUUCUUUUGUGAGCAUGCAACUGGUGGGUGUACUUGGCUCUUUGCUUCUAUUACGAAGGUCUAGUAUUGAAAUAAAGUGGCAAAUACAUUUGUUUUGAUAUUUUAGACAUGCAGUUUAAGAUAGUCGCAACAAGGAGAAACGUCUAGCAAGGCUUCUCUGUUGGUGGUUUAAAUCAUCAUUUCAUAGCACGAAGGUCCUAUAAAUCACCAAGGUGAAAACGUACGGAACUUAUCAGAACUAUGGAUCAUUUGGAUUUGGCUAUCCAUGACCUUUCAAUUUAUUUAAUUUUAGUUAAUUAAUAGUACUUUGACUUCAAAUUUUAAGCUAUAUAUUUAUCUCUUUUAAUGAACUUGUAGUUAUGAGAAUUGGAUGAAAUAUAUCAACUAAAUUUAUAAAGAUAAAUGAUGUAUUCAAAUUUUAAAAUAAAAAAUGGCAUUAACUGACUCAAAUUAAAUAAAUUGAAAGAUUAGGUAGUAAAAUUAAAAUUUAAAGAUUGAGUAGCCAAAUCCAAAUAGUACAUAGUUCUGGUAAUUAAGUUUCAUAUGUUUUUACCAAACAUCAAAGUGCGCUUGACCAACCUCAUUCCUAAACUAGGCCUAAGUGCAUGUUUGCCUUUACUGGCUCUACUUCAAUUUAUGCUUUCAGUUAUCGUCAUCUAUAAUAAACCGUUUAGCAUAACGAAGAAAAUUUUUGCUGCAUGUAGCGAAAAAUGGAAUAAACAUGUGACUUUUGAAGUUGUAUUUCAGAUUUAAAGCUUCUGGUUUUACUUGAGAAAAAAGUUAUAGGAUGCAUUCAAUGUGCUGCUGAGUUAUAUUUCCAUGGUUUUAAUUUCUUUCAUUGUUAUAUAUAUUAUGCUAUCAUUUUAAUUGGUUGAAUAUCUUCAUUUUGAACAUGCAUGUAUCCUUUGCUGGGACUUCAAAAAAUUAGCUAGUUUUAUUUAAGUUGUUAUCUCUACCUGGGAAAUAGGAUACUCUAAUGUGGAAAUAGCUGCUGUAGGAUGCAAAACUCUUAAAAUGGCAUUGCAUGCUAUCAUGCAAUAGAUCGAAUGCCUGUAUUUUUGUUGGUAUUGAAUUGAAUUUUCAGGAAUUAAGUUAAUUUUUGCUACGUGUGUGUAUUUUUCUUGUUUUGUGUUUUAUGAUGUUUGAUGAUGUAGUUUGGACACUAUCAUCUAUUACAUUUUUCGGCAUAUUAAUAGUGACAUAGUUGUAACAUACUUUGUUUUCUUAGAUCUCUAGUACCUAGUAUAUACUUGGUUGUUUGAUUUAAAUGCACAAGUAGGGUUCAAUUAGUCAAUCUAAUCAUCCUAAUAGAAUUUCAUGGUUUUGUGAAAUAAAAUUGUAGAUGAUUGUUUUGCAUGAAACAUUUCUCCUCUUACUACGUACUAGCUAGCUAGUUGUUUAAUUUCUAGGUUAAUGAAACUAAAGCCAAUUAAUGCUCGCUUUUCUUAUCUUACCAGCUAGUAGUUGUUUAGAUGGUGAACAAUUAAAAGCCUUAAAUAAUUAUGUGAUCACUUUUAAAUCUUUUACCAUAAGUAUAUAUACAGAUAUCUUAAUGAUACACUAAUUAGAUCUCACAAAUUUUCAACUGCAAAGUUGAUGAAAAGGGAAAUAUAUAUGAGGUAAGCAAAAAUUGCGUAUGUAGGAGACAAAAAGUAAGAGCCCAAAGGUGCUAACAAGCAAAGGAGUACUAGAGUGUAGCUUACGAUCGAGUACAAGUUUAUGGCUGAUAGGAGAAACUAGAAAUUGUUGAAACAUUUGUUUGAAAAAUAAAUAAAUAAUAAAAGAUGGACUAAAAGUGAGCAGAAGCAAAGUUGUAGCAGAACUCUAUAAAGUGGUGUGGCAGGUCCACUUAUCCUUCUUUUUUUUUGUGAUUUACGCACGAGGAAUUUUUGCUUGAAGUCUACAUAUACAGCACUCCUUGGUUGUUAUUGUUUGACUGAUGUGAUGAGAACAUUUAUGAUGAUCAUGGAAUUAAGAUAACUCUUUUCUGCUGAUUUCAAGUAAUUAACCUCGAUAAACAUAACUAUAUCUAUGUAUCUAGCUGUUGAUUAUAAAAGACAAAUAUUAUUCGCUCGCACUACAUUAUUAUUUAAUUCAUGUUUUAGACCUAUAUAUCAAAUAGGAGCCCGGCUACUAUAUUUUCGAUAGUACUAAGCAUUUGGUACUAUCGAGUUUUUCGCUAUUAGAUCUAUUCCUUUGAUCAUUUUCAUCGGUUCGAUCAUACUAUUUAACCAACCACCCACUCAACUCUAGGGAACCACUAUCUUCUUAACCGUACAUCUCUUCAUCCAAGAGCCGAAAAACUAAUAGCACCAAGCGCUUUGUACCAUUGAUAGUAUAGUACGUAGUCUAAUUCUAGCUACCAAAUAGUUUCAAGUCUAGACAUAACCAGGAGUAUUAAUUGUAGUGGCUCGGGCGUUGCAACGGAUAGAUAUUCAUAAAGUGAGAAUUCGAAAUAAUGUCCUAUAAUAUAUAAAAAAGAGAAGGGAUUAGAGACAUACCAUUUUCAAAUUUAUUUACUAGCAUAUAUAAUGCAGCGACACGAACUUUAUAAUGAGUAGAUAUUAUUGUAAAAUUAAAGAUACCUAAUCUACUAAGCAAAUAGGAAAUAAAAUGUAAGAAAAAAUUCAAUCCAUAUUCAAAUUAUGGGCAGCAUUCAUAGGUAGAACAAACGGCGAAACGACAACGCAUUCGGCAAUGAGUAGCAUUCAUAAUGAUGACAGUCCAUCUUCAGUCAACAGAAAAGAAAAUAGAGAAAAAAGAAAAAAAAUCAGCCAAUUUGAUAAAAAAUAAUUAAAAAGAUCGAUAGAGCUUAUUUAUUAUAAAUAAAGUAGAUUAUAUAUUAUAAUCAGUAUAAAAGUUUUUCAAAGCAUUUUUCUUUUUCUAAAAACUCAAGCUACUAUAAUGCAUUUUCCAAACUAUUUCUUUGUUCCUAUUUUUUUAAAAAAAAAAGAAAACUCAAACGCUAUAAUAACGCAUUUUACGUUUAAUAUUAUGUUUAAUAAUUGAAUAAAAAGACCGACCGUCCCUAGCGCAAGUGGCAAAGGGCUUGGCGGGUUGGUACCCGAGAUCUCAAGUUCAAAGUCUAGUUGAUUCAUAUUUCCAACUAAAUUUAUUUUUAAAUAAAAUAAACAAAGCGGGUAGCAUGCUACCUAUCUCUCAAAUAAUAAUAACAAUUGAAUAAAGAGAAGGAGAAAAUAAACGUAAAUAAAUAAAGAGAUAGAGAUAACGAUCCAUAUUCUUGAUGGGGCCCACACCCCCAAAUUAAAGAGAUGACGGUCUAUCUUCUCGGUAAGACCGACACAUCCAAAUGUGAAAAGAUGACUAUUAAUCUUCCUAAAAAAAUGGAGAAAAAAAACUAGUCAAUUUUUAAAAAAUAAUUAUAAAAAUUAGUGGGACCAGCAUCCCGAAAUUAAGGGGGUUGCGCCACAUCAACAUAAGGUCAUGGAAAUUAAUAGAUUUUUUAUAGAUUGUAAAAACCUACCCGAAGUUUGGUGAGCUCUCGCAUGUGAUUCGUUUCUAUGAGACCUUAAUCUCUUCAUACAUGCAUGGCACGUACGUAUAGUUUCAGGCUCGCAGUCAGUAAAGUGACAAAAAGGUAUAAUAUAUUCAUUAACUCAUAUAAGUUCACUUAAACCCCUUACCUUCUGAGAUCUUGGACUACCAUCUGAAAAUUAUUCUAAUAAGCUGGGAGUUGUUAAUGAAGAUGAUUGUGAAGCACUACAAGAAAAGGCGGUCAUAUAAGUGAUUUUUAGAUAUCGUAAAGGCGGCUUACAUCGCCUCUCAGAUUCACAGAGACAGCUACAACAACCGCCUCUAGACCACCGACAUAUCCACCACCUCUACAAUGUUUAGGCAGUUUGAUUGAUUGCCAAGGGUACUUAGAGGUUGUAUCUUUAGGCGGUUUUGACCACCCCAACAUGUUUGUUUAAUUAUUUUAUAAAUAUUUUUUAUGUAUGAUCUAGUAAUAAUAUAAAGGCGGUUAAAACCGCCUUUACAAAUUUUACUCUAGAGGCAGUUUAAAGAGCCUCUGUAUACAAAUAUUAUCAUGAUGAGGCUAUUUUAUCCACCUCUACCUAAAAAAUAUAAUAAAAAUUUCUAUUAAAAUAUUUAUUUUGGCCUAAAUUUAUUAUGAGCAAAAAAUUAUAAAUUUAUUGAUGAUCAUAUUACUUUAAAUACUGAUGCAAAUCACAUAUUACAUUUCUCAACAAAAAGCAAGACAACCAUAUGGCAAUUUAACAUUUAAUCCAAAAAAUAUACUAGCAACACAAGAAGUAAAACAAUUCUCAAUAAGAAGUAAAUCAAAUAUUAUAUUUCUGAACAAAAAGCAAGACAAUUAUAAUGGCAAUUUAACAUUUAAUCCAGAAAAUAUACUAGCAACACAAGAAGUAAAACAUUUCUCAAUAAGAAGCAAACCAAUUCUUUAAUAUGUGAUCCAAACGCAAUCGCAUUCAAUAUUUACCAUAAAUAAUAGCAACACACUAAAUAAAAAAAAAGUUUUCAAAAAUUGAGUUUUCAAAAAUAGUCGACAAUUGAGUUUUCAAAAAUUUAUAAAAAAAAUUAAAUAGUUUAUGGUUUCCGACAUAUGUAGGCUCAUGACUUGCAUGAUUAAUGAUUGAGAGAAAAUGCGUCAAUUGGAUUAAUAUUGCCAUCACAAUAUAAAGAAGUAUCAAACAAUAUAAAUGUUGUUACAUUUUAUUAUUAAUAUGAAUUUUAUUAACCUUUNGUGUUAAUACACUGUGAUAGCACUGCUGCUAUUGGUAGAGUAAGAAACCGUUAUUAUAACGGUAAAUCCAGAUCUGUAAGAAGAAAACACAGUACUGUGAGAUCAUAUAUGAACAAUGGUAUUAUCAGUGUAGAUUAUAUUAAAUCUACUGAUAAUCUGGCAGAUCCAUUAACCAAGGCCUUGGGAAGAGAAAGGAUCUGGAACACAUCGAGGGGGAUAGGGUUGAAGCCCAUAAUAUCAAGAACCACGUAUGAGGAUACCCAACCCGAUGAUCAGAGAUCCUGAAAAUUGGGUUCAAUGGGAAAACAAAUCAUAUGGUGGUCGUAAAGAAUGCACAAUCUAUAGAUCUAUAUGAUCACAUCUUUACCUAUCCCUAUGGUGUGGGUGCAUUCAUCCUGUAAUAAAAAGAGGGUUGAGCUUUUGCUCUUAAUGAAAUAUGUGGCUCUUACGAGCAGGGUGUCAGAAUAACAGGAGCACUCUUGACGGAUUUCACCAAUAUGAGCAUGGAAGUGGGGCCGCUUCCUAUGAGAACGGGCUUAUUCUCAAAUAUGCUCAUGAAAACCAGGAUCAGCACAGGGCCGUAACGUGCUGGCUAUUAAAGCUCAUGUCAACACCUGGAUUGUUAUAUGUGAGCAGUAACUUUCUAUUUCCCCUAAGCGGCCAAAGUUCAAGUCUGAGACCACUCUGGCUCUGGAGUAGAGAUUACUGUUUCACUAAGUGAAGGUUCAAUGCAGAGCACACCUUCAUUAUGUAUAACGGUCCCUCUUUGGCCAUCAAACUCUCAUAUAUUUUUAAUAAUAAAAUGAGUGGGUGAAUGUUGUUACAUUUUAUUAUUAAUAUGAAUUUUAUUAACCUUUGUAUAACCUAUACUUGCAUUUAUAGUUGUGCAUGUGAAUUUACCACUUCAUUUAGUUUGCAUUCAUUGUGAACUUAUAUGUGAACCUACUUCAAUAAGGUGAACAUAAUUAAGUUCAUUUACGUAUGUAAACUCCUAUAGCACUAACUAUGUAACCUAUGGGUUUAAUACUAUCGUAACCUAUACUUUUGAAGCCUAUAUAUAGAGGACUUCUCUAUUCACUUAAAUAUAACAUAAAAAAGAAAACUACAAUAUCUAUAUUCUACUUGAGAAAGAGAAGGACAAAGAAAGGUGUUUCUUUUGGUGGAGCUUUGGGCUCAUCUACUUGUGCAGAGUUGGUGAAGCCACACGACGAGGGUCGAGCCGUUGUAUCCUGGAGGGGACAAAUCAGUGCUUUGCUGCAUCGGUUCAAAGGCUUUGCCAACCGCAGAGGGCUUGAAUCUCCUUAAAGAGAGCGAGAUAUCCGUGCCUCGGCUUGAUCGACUCGUUGAUAUUUUUUAAAUUAUUUUGUAGCUAACCUCUAUUUUUUGAAUAUUUACACCAACAAUAAAAAUUCUUAAUUACACUAAAAUUCAAAAAUUUUCAAAAUAUUAUAAGUACUUCCUAUCAAAUCGGUGUAUUUAAGAAUUAAAAAAUCUAUUUGAUAAUAGUAUUUUUUUUGUAAUAUAUUAUAUUGAACUUCAAUUUAGUAUAGUGAAACUUACAAAAUAGGAUAAAUACAGAUGAAACAAGAGCCAACAUGCAUGAUUUAGCUGUGUUGGGAUGGCUAAAAGAUAGCCCGGGGCAAGUUUGGAUGAAACUGAAUGGAUAAAAAUGUUUUGGAAACAAAUUUCUAAAAAUUGAGACUUCACAGUUCGAACCUUGAUGGGGAAGUCCGGAUCGUGAAGUUUUUGAAACAUUAUUGUUCGGACCUUGCAGAGGAAAUCCGGACCCUAAGCCAUUUUCGUGCAAGAUAAUAUUCGGGAUCCGAAUCUUGGGAGGGAAGUUCUGAUCUUCAGGGGUGGAAGUUCGGACCAUAGAAGAGAAGUCUGGACCUUGGCUGUGUUUUUUUUCCCUGAUGGACGUUCAGGAUCUGGACUUCCAUUGGAUAUUCUGGACCUUCCGCGACUAAAGCUGCUUUUGAGAGAGAGGUGUCUUAUACCAUUUUGGUUGGGUUGAAGGGUUUACGUGCAAUAUUACAACCUCUUUUUAUAUUAGGGAAUCCCUCAGGUUGGAAAGCCCCAACCUAAGCCUCUCCCCUUACUCUCUUUUACUCUUUUCUCCCUCUCCAACCCAUAAUUAUUAGGUUCAUUCAGUAGAAAUAAAAAGUCAUUUUGUGUAACUAUUAAGUUGUAUUAUAUUAACAAGCUAGUACAAACUAUAACCGUGAUGCUUUGCCCAAUGAAGUGAAAGGACUGACCGAGAGGUUAUCAAGCAUACCUCAGACCCAUACAGCAUACGACCGCAGCAGAAACAAGAUCUUUUGUGGAUAAAAAUAGGCGAGAACGAUCGUAGAAAAUAAGUACGAGGAUAAUAAAGAAAUAAAAUGAACAAAAGAAUAGAAGAACACAAGAUUUACGUGGUUCGGCCAACGGUGAGUCGACCUAUAUCAAUGGGCAAGAUCACUUCAAUGUGAUCUUCGAUUAAUCCAUGACACAAAAGUAUAAAGAGUAAGAUUGGAUUACAAGAAACUUUCACUCUCAAGAUCUUUCCACAUUUUCCUCUCAACUAGGGCGUCUAAAACUAUAAUGAAGCUUUUAUCUCUAAAAGAUCAAUUAUAAGAGUUUAUAUAACCUAAAACCUCAAUUCUAGUAAGAAACACUCUCCGCCAUUCAUCUCAGUCUCCGAUUCACUUAUGGCCAUAGAUCUCCUCUUUAGAAUCCUCUUUAAAGUGUUCUUGGACCAUCCCUAAUCUUUAGGAACAAGAUUAGAAUAAAUUAGAGUCAAAUCCAAUAUAUUCAAUUCAUUGCGGAAUUAAAUACUGGUUCUCAAAUUGAGUACUGAUGCACAAUACAGAAGCAGAUUUUCAAGCUUUGGGUUUUGAGGAACUAAGGAACUCCUAGGCUCCGUUUGGUUUGGGAAUUAGUAGGAACUAGUUAUACCGGGGAUAGGUACAAGUAUGAAUUUUUGUAAGAAUAAGGGUAUUUUUUUGUUUGAAUGAAAAUGUGAGUAUAAGCUGGAAAUAGAAAAAUUACGUUUGGAUAGUUAUUGAGAAUAAGAGGAAUAGUUGUUAGUUAUAAAUAGAAAAUAAUGAUAUUAUCUCUAUAAUUGAAUUUAAAUUUUUAAAUUUUAAACUUAUAAUUUUAAAUUAAAAAUUGAAAAUUUUAACUUUUAAAUUUUAAAAUUUGAAAUUAAAAUUUAAAGUUAUAAUUUUAUAAAUAUCAUAUUUUAAAUUUAAGACCAAAUUUAAAUUUCAAAGAUAUAAAAUAGCAAAUUUAAAAUUUAAAAACUAAAAAUAUCAAAUUUAAAAUUUUAAAUUAUCAAAUUUAAAAUUUAAACUUUAAAAUUUAUAAUUUUAAAUUAUAAAUUUAAUUUUAAAAUUUUAAAUUUUAAAAAACUAAUUUUAAAUUUAAAUUAAAAAUCUCUCUCUUUUUCUCUCUCUCUCUCUCUACCCGGUUUGGGUGGGAGCAAGUGUUCCCACCCAACCCAAAAUGUGUUUGGGUAUAAAAGGGUGGAUAUCCCCCUUAUCCCCCCCUUUAUACCCAAUCCAAACGCAGUGCGAAGGUACUCCGGGUUCUUAGGAAUUAUAAGAAACUUUUGAGGCACUCUUUAGUACUAGUAUUCAAACUUCAAGCUCCAAUACUCAACAUCUAGAUACCUAAAAAUCUUUGACUUUUUCACCGCAAUAUCGACUCGGAACAUAGCUUCACAUUAUCUAACAAAUCUCCCACUUGAAAGCAUAUGUUGAACUCCAUAAAAUACCAAAUUGAAAGUCUUGCCAAACUCCCACUCUCCUCACGUUGCUUGGAAAUCGAGAGAAGUCAUGCUCCAAUUGAACUUCACUCGAGUUACAGUUUCAUCAAAAUAUCUGCUGAAUUUUCAUCGAUAUUAACCUUCAACAGCGAGAUAAGACCCUCAUCACCAGAUCUCUCACAAAAUGAUAGUGAAUAUCAAUGUGCUUUGUCCAAGAGUGAAACGUCGGAUUCUUCGCCAAAUGUAUUGCACUUUGACUAUCACAAUUAACACCUAGCACAUCUUGUUUCACUUUAAAUUCUUCUAGAAGUCUUUUUAACCAAAUAGCCUCAUUGCAAGCAUGUGCCACCCUAUGUCCUCCGCCUCCGUCAUUGACCAAGUGACCACUAACUAAAGUUUCGACUCCCAGCUAAUAGCAACACUGCUCAUGGAGAAAACAUAACCCAUGUUAGACUUUCUUCUGUCUCUAUCUCCUGUGAAAUAUGAAUCUAUAUGUCCUAUGCACUCCAAAUUCGUAGAACUAUAAUGGAGUGAGAAAUCCGUAGUGUCCCUCAAAUUCCUGAGAAUCUAUUUCACUGCAUUCCAAUGUUCACAUCCCAAAUUUGCCAUCACUGCUCUACUGCUUGAGCAAUGUCGCAUUUUAUGCACACCAUGGCCAACAAAAGGCUCCUUAACGCCGAUGAAUAUAGUACCUAAGCCAUGUCAGCCUUUUUCACUUUCGUGCUUGGUGAUUGCUUGAUCGACAACUUUAAAUGAAUAAAAAAUGAAGUAGAAAUUGGUUUUGUGUUCUACAUAUUGAAGCACCACAAAAUCUUUUCUAUAUAACUUUUUUGUGAAAGUCAAACUUUCCUAUUCUUUUUCUUCUGUAGUACCUUUAUUUCGAGUAGUUAGUUUUAAAACUCCUAAGUCUCAGGAUACUGUCUCUUGCUAUUCCCCGCAACUACCAUACCAUUGAUAUAUAAAAGCAAAAUACAGAAGCUCCUAUCAUUAUAUCCCUAGAACUAUGAAUGAUGAUUAUAUUAGCUAUUCUGAUAUUCAAAUUCGGUAUAGAUGAAAUUGUAUAAGCAGAGUUCUUUUUAUUUCCUUAGACAAUGCAAAGCAAGAAUUUGUCGAUACUUACGAUUUAAUCUUCUCGUUACUAGAUUCUCCAUAGGAAUAAAUCACUACUCUUUUCUUCUACAAAGUUUAUUCAGCUUAUUCUACUUUUCUUGUAGGGCGAUCUCACAAGCAUCCUUAAUCAAGAUUGCUUGCAUCUUCAAUUUUCGGAACAUGAAAUUUGUUCCAUCAAACCGAGGAAUCUCAUACUUCAUUGUUGUAACUUAUUUGCAAUCGUUUCACCUUGAACGAACUACAAAGAACCAAAUGCGCUGAUACCAAUUGAAGAGGACCGACCGAGGGGCUACUGAGCGCACCUCAAACCCACACAGCAUACGAUUGCAGCAGAAAUAAGAUCUUUUGUAGAUGAAAAUUGAUGAGAAUGUUUGUAUAAAACAAGCACGAGGAUACCAAAACAAUAAGAUGAAAAAGAGAACACAAGAACACAGGAUUUACAUAGUUCGACAAACAGUGAGUCAAACUACGUCUGCAGGCAAGACCAGCUCAAUACUUUCUUCGAUUAAUCCAUGACACAAAAGUGUAAGGAGUAAGAUUAGAUUACAAGAAACUAGCUCUCUAUUUAGAGUUUUCCAUAUUUUUCUUUCAACUAGGGUGUCUACACAAGCUCAUAUUUCUACAAGAUUAAUUACAAGAGUUUAUAUAACUCUAAAACCGCAAUUCUAAUAGGAAAUGCUCUCUGUCAUCCACACGAGUCUCUGAUUCAUUUCUAGCUGUUGAUUUUCUCUUAAGAAUCAGUAUUUAUGGACCAUUCCUAAUCUUUAUAAACAAGAUUAGAUCAAAUUGGAAUCAAAUUUAUCAUAUUCAGCUCGUCGCAAAAUUUAGUACCAGUACUCAACUUGGAGUAACGGUAUUGGUAGAUUUUCUAAGCUUCGAAUUUUGAGGAACUCUGAGGAACUCCUAAGGUACACUUGGUUUUGGGGAACUCUGAGGAACUCCUAGAUACUCUUCAGUAUUGAUACUUAGGUAGAGUUUGGUUCGGGAACAAGGGGGGAAUAGGCCCUUGUUCCCUCCUUUGUUCCCAAACGUGAUGUUUGGUACCCGGGAACAGUAGUUCCAGGAUUUCUAAAACAAGCUGGUAUAAGACUGGAACUAUUGUUCCACCUAUUUCCUGAAACAAACUUGUUCCUUGAUGAGAACAAAUUAAUUAAAAUCUAAAUUUAAUUUUAAUUGCAGUAAAUUAUUAAUUAAUCUAAUUAAUAUAUUUAAAUUAUUAUUUAUUACUUUAAUAAUUAAAUAAUUAAUUAAUUAUUUAUAAUUAAUUAAUUAAUAAUAAUUAGAUAAUUAUUAUAAUUAAUUUAUUAUUUAUAAUUAAUUAUUAAUAAUUAUUAUUAUUUAUUAAUAAUUAUUAUUAUUUUUAAGAGAUAGGUAGUACGCUAUCCGUUUCGUUUAUUUUAUUUAAAAAUAAAUUUAGCUAAAAAUGUAAAUCAAUUAGGAUUUAAAUUUGGAACCUCGGAUACCAACCAUCAAGCUCUUAAAAAUAAUAAUAAUUAUUUAUUUAUUUAUUUAUUUAUUUAUAAUUAAUUAAUUUAUUAUUUAUAAUUAAUUAAUAAUAAUUAGAUAAUUAUUAUAAUUAAUUAUUAAUAAUUUUUAAUAUUUAUCAUUAUUUAUUAAUAAUAAAUUAAUAGAUAUUAUCCUUAAUAAUUAGAUAAUCGAUAGUAUUAUUAAUUUAUUAUUUAUAAUUAAUUAUUAAUAAUUAUUAAUUAGACAAUCGUUAUUAUUAUUAAUUAGAUAUUCAAUAUUAUUAAUUUAUUAUUUAUAAUUAAUUAUUAAUAAUUAUUAUUUAUUAUUAUUAUUUAUUAUUAAUUAUUAAUAAUCAAUUUAUUAUUUAUUUUUAAGUAAUAUUUUGAUGUUAAUUAAUUACAUAAUAUAAUUUUAAUUUAAAAUUGUAACUCUUAUUCUUCUUCUUCCAAUCUAACAAUCCAAACACUAUUUAUCUUUUUCCUAGGAACAACCCAAUUUUCAUCCCAACAUAAAAUUGGUCUAGUUCCUGCUUAUACCUGAACUUGUACCUAUCCCUAGAACUAGCAGUUCUUACUUAUAUCCGAACCAAACGCAGCCUUAGAUUUCAAGUUUCGCUACCCAAUAUCCAAAAACGUUAAAUCUUUGACUUUUUUACCGUGAUAUCAACUUGGAACAUGGUUUUACAUAAUCCAACAUGAAGUACAAUAGUGGCAAAAUGCAAAAUGUUUGAUUGCUAUGAGAGUCGUUAAUUUUGUUAAGAUAUAUGCAGAAUUGACAGAUGAGGUAAGAGAUGAAAAUUUAAUGUGGAAAUUGAUGUUGAAUGCGGAAAUUGAAGAAUCCACGACCUUACGAAAUGGUAGAAAUCUAGGAUUAGCUUUGAUACCAUGUUACCCAAACAAUCGUUGUGAUAGAAAAUAGUCAAAAAAAUAUGUUUAACAUGUGAGACCCAAGAUUUGAAAUAGUUUUAUAUAUAAGGUAUGUUUAAGAUUAAAAAAAUUCAAAUUUCAAAUUGAAGAAAAUAGAAGGCAAAAAAAAAAAAGUAAGGGUUAGUAUUUGCCUUAGUGACCAACCAUCAAAAAGAAAAAAAAAUACAAAUAUAUUAUUACCUUAUUUUCAAAAUAUUUUGAAUUAUUUUCUAAAAUGAAGAGGUCCAAAAACCACUAUCAAUUGGACCAUGAGAUUCAAGGGAAGGAUUUUUUUAAUCUUAAACAGCGGAAAAAAAAAAAAAAAAAAAAAAAAAAAAAAAAAGUCGAAGCACGAUCACGAUGACGACGACUGCGACGAUUCCGACGACGACAACGACUACCACGGUAACUUCCACGACAACGAAGGGUAAUGCAUGCAUACAAAUGGCGUAAGUGCGAUUUGUUUAAUUUGUUAGUUUGAUCAAUAUAACCAUCUUCGCAAUAGGCUUGAACCGAUCAAAUUCGAUGCUAAAUCACUACUUUCACCGUGCGUAUGUGUCAUUAAUCCCUAUACUAAGCGACCAUCUUCGUGAUAGGCUCGACACAGUCAAAGGGUUGAUUGAACGGCCAUUUUAAUUAGGCUCGACAUGAUCAAAUCCAUAUAUUUGGACCAAAAAAAAGAAAAAAAGAAAAUUGAUCAACAUAUUUUGAUUUGCUAUCUUCGUGAUAGAUAUUAUUCGAAUCAUUCGACACCUUCGUGAUAGGCACGAUUCGACUUCAUCGACUCGUCAUCUUCGUGAUAGGCACUAUCCGAACCACGUGCCAUUUUCGUGAUAGGCAUUGUUUGAUUCAAUCACAUUGUCAUCUUCGUGAUAGGCACAUAUUUGAUCAAAUCGCCAUCUUCGUGAUAGGCGCAGCUUGACUUAAUCGAACCUCGUGUUUGAGACGGAUUAUCUUAGCAACACCCUAUGAGUGCAAAAAAAUUUGAUGAUUCAGGAAUUUGAUAGCGAUUUUGGAUCAAAUUAAUUUGAAUUGAAUCAAAAAAAGAGAGAGACAAAUUAAAUAGGUUUGGAGCUAUUUAAUUAAAACAGGCCUAAUUCAUAAUUUACUUAUGGGCCCAAUGAACAAUAUCUCAUAUGCAGUCCACUAAAAAAAAAAUAGAGCCAAAUCCAAUCCAACCCAAAAUCAGAUCCCGAAUUUAGCCCGUACAAAAUGCAAUCCCAGUCUACUCAUGGGCCCGAAUCCUGAAUUUAGCCCGUACAAAAUGCAAGCCCAUAUGCAUAUGUAGAUGCGGCCCAGAUGAAUCCAGCCCACAUACAAAUAAAACCUACACGUAAAUAAAACCCAAAAUCCAAAAGUCCACAAAUAAAACCCAAAACCCAAAGUUUACAAAUGAAACCCAAAACCCAAAGUUUACAAAUAAAAUCCAAAAUCCAAAGUCCAUAAAUAAAACCCAAAGGCCAAAGUCUAAAAAUAAAACCUAAAACUCAAAGUCCACAAAUAAAAUCCAAAGCCCAAAGCCCACAAAUAAAACCCAAAACCCACAUGCAAAGAAAAUCCAAACCCCAAAACCCACAAAUAAAGCCCCAAAAUUCAAAGUCCACAAAUAAAAUCCAAAACCCAAAGUCUACAAAUAAAACCCAACUCAAUCUAAUUCAUAAAUAAAGCCACCAAAACCCAAGAGCAUAAAGCCCAAAACUACCGAACCUAUAUCAACCAAAUGCCUCCAACCCAAACCAAAUUUAACCAAAUAAUUUCACGAGCUUUCCAAAUGAGUCCCUAUCAUGAAUUACAUUCAUGAACCAAUUUCAUAGGUUUCCCAAAUGGGCCCCCUAUCAUGAAUUAAUUCUAUAAAGUAAUGGGUUUUCCAAAUGGACCUCUACCAUAAAUUAAUUUCAUGAACCAAUUUCAUGGACUUUCCAAAUGGGUCUCUAUCAUGAAUUAAUUUCAUGAAACCAAUUUCACGGGCUUCAAAUUCAUAUUGACCGUCAAAUCGUUAAACUGAAUUCAAAUUUAAAUUGAUCAUCAAGUCGUUAAACUGAACAUUGACCAUCAAGUCAGUAAAUUGAACAUCGACCGUCAAGUCAUUAAACUGAAUUCAAAAUUCGAAUUGACCAUCAAGUCGUUAAACUGAACAUUUGACCGUCAAGUCGUUAAACUGAAUUCAAAUUCAAAUUGAGCAUCGAGUCAUUAAACUAAAUAUUGAUUGUCAAGUCGUUAAAUUGAAUUCAAAUUCAAAUUGACCAUCAAGUCGUUAUACUGAACAUUUGACCAUAAAGUCGUUAAACUGAAUAUUUGACCAUCAAGUCGUUAAACUGAAAAUCGGCCGUGAAGUUGUUAAACUGAAUUCAAAUUCAAAUUGACCAUUAAGUCGUUAAACUGAACAUUUGACCAUCAAGUCGUUAAACAAAAUUCAAAUUCAAAUUGACCAUCAAAUUGUUUAACUGAACCAACAGAAUUCAAAUUCAGAAUGACCGCUAAGUCGUUAAAGUGAGUGAACUCAUUUCAAACUCUUUUGACCAUCAAGUCGUUAAACUGAGUAAAGUUAUAUUAAACUCUUUUAUGACCGCCAAGUUGUUAAACUGAGUAAACUCAUAUCAAACUCUUUUUGACCACCAAGUUGUUAAACUGAUGAGCAAUCAAAUCAAACUCUUUUAACCGCCAAGUCGUUAAACUGAGUAAACCAAUUUCAAACUUUCUGACCGCUAAGUCGUUAAACUAAGCAAAUUAAAUUCAACCUCAACCUAUUUUAUUCAACCGCCGUAUCAUUAAACUGAGCGACCCGACCCCGAUCGACCACCAAGUUUAUAAACUAAAGUAUUUUAGUUUCAUAAAAUUCAUGUACAACUGGAGGAUACUCCUGCUUAAGCUUUGUACACGGCAAAUAAUAUUAAUAAAAUUUUAUUUGCCUACUUUGGUCUUUUUUAUUAUCAGCAUUUACAUUUGAUCUCUUAAUCGAGGGUUUCUUAACACUGAAUGUGUGGGCUAAUUAACAGCAGAUUCUUGAGUCUGUUAGAAACCAUGAACCUAUAAUUCUAAUUUUAAAAUAAAAUUUAAAUAAAUUUAAUAUGUACCAUGAAUGACCCCUCGCCUUGAAAAUACCUAUAGCGGGGCUGGUUCGUUCACGACAGACAAAAUGGCACGCCCGGUGGGACAUAGCUUCACCUUUAAUUUUUGAGACCAAAUCCAAUAAUACUGAUAAAAGACUCAUGUAGAAAUGUUCGACCAAUAAAUAUUGCUUCAUCCAAGCAUAGCAAUGCAUACCAAUAAAUAUUGCUUCAUCCAAGCAGAGCAAUACAAUCCGACAACAUCACCUCUUAAUCCGGAUAGAGCAUUUUGGGCAGCGGCUAGGUUCAGGAGGUUAAGAGAGUUAAGCGUAUUAGAACUCGAGUAGUCCUAGAUUAAUAGGUGACUUGCUGAGAAGUUGGGCGUCACAAAACAAGUUUUAACAAAUCUCAAAAUCAAUUAAUUAAGAAAACUACCUUAAAUCAAACCAGCCAAUAAAAAUCAACAAGCUGUCCGCAGGUAAAUAAGACAAAAAGUUUUGAGGAUCUACUUUAAAAUUGUACAUAGUUCAAGCGGUCUACACACAUCUACUUAACAAAGUUUAAAGUGUUGUUUACAUUUACAUGAAGAGAACGUGUAAUUUCAUUUAGUAUCAAAUUAGAAAAAAAAAAAAUAGAAAAAGAAAAAUGAGAAACACAAAAGAGAAUCUCCCAUUCUCAUGGAGCUUCCUCUGAGGAAAGGAAUGAAUGCACACCAAAUGCGAGGAAUAGUAAUCCACUGGCAAGUGUUACCUAGCAUGCACUCAAAUCAAUAAAAUAUCAGAAUUUUCAAACAAAGGACCAUUAAAUAAUGGGUCAAAUAUUUUUGAAAGAAAAUUAAGAUUUAUUACCACUUUCUCAGAUAUAUGAGAAGCCAAGCUCUUCCCUCCAACAACUGCUAAUACGGUGCAGAGUGCUUGUCCCCUGUUUCCAAAUCAAAAGUCACAUAAAGAGGAAGAGAAUAAUAUCCUGUCACAUGUUUACAUAAAUGAGAAUCAAAUAUGACAUAUAUACAAAAUUCCUCCAAGAACUACUCCAUAUGGGUUCUCAUCUGCAGCUAGGCCAAUGGUAGCAAUCUAUAUAUGUAGCAUACAAGAAAGAGAGAAAUCGAAUUAGACGAAAAAUAAAUGAUUAUUAGUAGAGCUGCGAUGCCUCUUGAAGCACAGAGAUCCUCAUGCGCUCACUUCAUUUUCAAUGAUGGGGCAUUCGAAUCAAUGAUCCCCACUAUACAGAGUAUCUGAUAUCCAAGAACGGAAAAUCAUGAAUUUGAAAGCUAUUUUCUAGCACACCAAGUGGCCUGAACGGCUAAAAUUGAACAAUCUUCAAAGAGUACCAGAUAGUAUAUAGUUCAAUUCAAUAUCCGGGUUACUGAUCUUGAUCUAUGUAGUGUCAAUAUCAAGGUUACUGAUUAUGAUCUAUAUAGUGAAACUAAUUCCCGAUAAAAAAAAAUGAACUAUUUUGAUUAAUUUGACACUGCUAAACAAGCAAACAUCUACCUCAUACCGACCGUUUAAGAGAUAUUUUUGAGACCUUCUGAUACUAGGCAAAUGGUUCUAAAAAAAUUACGAAAUUUGGUACUUCAAAUACUCUAAAUUAUGUUUAACUAUUGGAUCUUUAAUUCCUAUCAUCAAUAAUGAAGUGAAGGCACGAAAUCCUCUCCACUUCUUCAAGCAUAGUAACUCUAUCACAAGGAUAAUUCCCAACAUAAGUAUGAACUGAUUAAUUAGUUUGCUAGCAUAAGUACCUGGCUCCUAUCACCCCACUCACCAAAGAAGCUGAUGGAAAAAGCCUGCGCAAAAAAAAUUGAUGCAAAGGAUAUGACACUACAGAAUUAGCACAACAGUUCAGUGAAGAACGUCGUACCAAGAUUUUACACAUUUAACGGAAACAUUACCUUCAGGAAAAUAGGGGAGAAGAAUCGCGUCAGGAAUGGUCUCUGCUCUUUUUUCCGAUCCUCAGUUUCCUACAAAGAGCAACAAUUCAUGCGGUACUAUAAAUAAACUUAACUGUAUUGCAAAAAGAUUCAGCAUCUCAUAAAUCUCAAUUCUGUCGGAUCGUUGGUACUAACCAUUAAUUCCAAAAUCUCGAACUAUUAGAAAUAUGCAACCAAUUCACUUAAAGCGUACACAUAAAGAACUCACGCCACUUCGAACAUGACUCGGCCCACCCAGCCUCACGCCAUUUCGAAUAUGACUCGGCCCAACAUGGUCUCCCGCCACAGGACAGGAUGCUGGCCCAUUUAAGCCAACAAAUUCUAAUAGGGCUUAAGUAUGAAAGACAUCUUUGGUUUCUCUUAAACAGGACAUUUCCAUUAGCUCCAAUUGGACGAAAGAGAUCUUAGGCUUUCCAAUGCACAAAGUCUCCUUUAGUCACCUCAUUAAUAUACUCAUAAAUUAGAAUAUUAAAGUGAAUUUCUGUCGAAAACACACAGAAAAAUUCAUGUCGAUUGAAUAUGAUUGCAAGAAGUUGUCCGUUUCCUAAGAUAUAAACAAUGUUAACUAUAUGAACAUCAAAAACAUCAUUCUCUGGUAGCUUUAAUUUUAAAAGAACAAUGGCUGUUUCACAUUAUUGAACAUAGUAUGAGAGAUUAAUGUCCUAACUUUGACUCCUACCAAGCUACUAGCUUUAUUUAAUUUUCUCCAUUUUAAUUUAAGUUCACAUCUUUGGCCUAUCAAAAAAUGUUGAGACUGAACGUGACAGAGAGUGUUGAAUAUAAAUAGUACAACGCCGUUCUUUGGUAGCUUAAGUUUUUGGAGAACAGCAGUUUUUUAAGAGCUUAACAAGAAAUGAUCAUGAAACCUCCAUUUCUAGGAACUUCCAAGCAGAAGGAUGAAUAGCUAGUCCAAUUACCUUAGAAUCUCCAUUACUUUUACCAGAUGACACCUUGGAAUCAGCAUCCUGAUAAUCCAGGAAAAAAAGAAAGGAAAAGAUAAUUAUAUGAGGUUCUUGGAUAUAAGAUACUAGAAAAAGUCAUCACAAGAGCAAACAAUGCAAUUUACCAGUUUUUCUUCGACUUCGGCUAACUCAUCAUCCCUAAUAAGAAAUGGAUGGAAGAGGAAGCAAAUAAGUCAACUAAUAAUAAGCAAAUGAAUCUCAAGGGAAUGCUUUUGUUCAAACAUAAGGUUAUAAUGUUUAAAAAGUAGAAGAGAAAACCACACCCAUCUUCUGUCAAUCCUUCCCAGAGUGACCAUAUACCAAACACAAAGAACAAAAUGGUUGUUAUAUGGUGUGUCCACUCGCGAGGAAUCUGCCACACACAAAUCAAGCAAUUUCAAGCGCAUAAUGACGAAUCGAGGAAUAAUUAGCACUAAAAUGUUCAGAACCAUGAAGAUGAAAAUUAUUAGCAAAACAACUUGACGAGAUGCCUCAAUUGACUUGACUGAAACUAAAUAGGAAUUAAUGUGUUAUGUUGACGACGAUACAAAUCUACCUUGGCCUGAAAAAUCCUAUGUAUCUUAUCUCGUAAGUUCUUAUCUUGACAAGCAAGAUAACUAAUCAUAGUGCAGGUAGGAGUACAGAGAGCGAACAUUUCUUCACUUACAAGCAUGUUGCGGUAAUUUUGUAGUGAAGCACAAGAAUUAUGUGAAUCUACUACCAGAAGGAUAGACAUUUUACAAAAGAAAUGUCAGAACAAUCAGAAAUAGUAAUUUUGCUAACGAUUUUCUAAAUUUUACCGAAUCGUCACUUUGCCGUGAUUAUUUAUUUGGCAGUUGUAAUUAUCAACUUCUGCAUGUCACAGUACGUAACAUGAGAGGCAAUAAAAUAGAUGGCCAAUUAAUUUUGAUGAAAGAAUAUACUUCAGUUGACUAUUUAGUAUGUGAUAAUACAAAUUCUUCUUAAGGAGGACUUUAAGAAUGUAUCAUCUUAUAUGGAAUUUCAUACCCGUUAUUUUCCAUAAACUUUCUAAAGUCGAUAAAAAUUGUAUCAGAAUCACUACAAUAUUCUGAUAAUUUUUGAGGAAAAAACACUUAAACUUUAGUAUGUCACAACAGACUGAAUUUUCUGCAGACUAUACAAUUACUAGAUCACAUUUUCCAUCAUGAUCUUCAGAUUUGAAUGGUUUACUUAAAAUCAUAGCUAUGGAUUUUUCAAUUUGAAUAUUUCGUCCAAACUUGUGAGUACAACCUAAUUUGUCAGACUGUGAUGUCACUUCUUCAAGGAUGAUGAAGAAUUUGAUCAAUUGCAGCAUAACUUCAACAUCCAAAACAACUCAUUAGCAAAGCAUUAUGUUCAGUUAACAGCCAGAACUUUUAAGUUGUAGCAAAUUCAAGCAUAUUUCAGACAAACAAAUAUACAGCUAGAAUUCAGAGUUGAAAUAAUCUUAUCAGAGGCAUAUAAAAGAAAAUUUUGAAUAUCAUACGCCUCAUGAACUAAGAUGACAAGAGAGUAACGUCAAGAUAAGCCAAAAAGCAAUUUUUCAGGUCUCUGAUUUGUUCAGCUACUAUCAUACGAAAUGCACGAUUAAUGGACCAAUAUAGAGAGACAUAAUUUGGGCGGUUUCAUAAGUAGUCAGAGAUUGUAGUUAGGAUUUAUUAGAUAUUAAUUCAAGUGUAAAACAAUCACGACUUCGUGCUACAUGAAAUCUGUGCAGCAAUGAAAAUCUAUCUACUCUUAGGCCCAGUAUGUAAUAUGCUGCCUAACAGCGUCAUUUUUAUACUAAGGAAAGCCCAAAAUAUUCAGAAGCGCUUACAAUCUUCCCUCCAAUGCUAUAAAGUUGCGAUUGCAACGCCACAAGUGAAGCUGUAGCCACAUGCUUCUUGGGUUGUAGUUGCAACUAUAAUCUUAUAGUAUAAAAGAACGAAAAAUUGAAAAAAAAUUUAAAGCAAGAAAGUGCUUAAGUACAUGAAAAAAAAAAAUUUUUAAUUUAAAUCAAGAGAAAAAAAUGGACACUUUAUGCUGGUUUACAAUAUAUAAUGGAGCAUAUUUUUUUCUUAGCUUUCUUAAUUAUACAUGCAUCAAGUGAUCGGACCGAAAUUCUUGUUUCAUAAUCAACUAAUCAUGGUAAAUGAUCUAGUAUUCUACAAUCUACAUACAUAUAUUAGUAUUCUACCUACCAGAUUUGGUGCAGCCCAGCCAAGAAAAGAAGAUAGUAUAGUCAUCAUCUGUAAUUUCACAUAAACGAAAUCAGCAAGGAAAGCGAGAAUAUAUAUGAAAAGAAACCAUGCAUACGUAAAAUUCAUUUAAAAGGCAGAGGAACUCACAAACAGCGACGCUAAACAACCAGACAAAACAAGGCCCCUUGGAUGACGCAUUGCCAAGAUCUUAAAAAAUGCAUAGCAGAUUCAGGAAAACAACAGAGAUGUACACGUAAUGAAAGAAGAGAAAGAAAGGAAACAGGUUUUAGUAUAUCAUACGAAUAAUGAAGAACAAAUUCCGGUCCAACAUUACUGAAAAAUUUUCUUUGCUUUUAUGCGCUACUUUGUAACAACAUUUUUAAAGUGAAGGAGCUGGUUAGUACAAGGUUACUGCAAUGACAAAAGAAGGGCUAACAAAAUAUUUCAAAGAAAAUAACGAGCAGCAUAUAGGUUAUGUUCUUGCUUCACUUCAGUUUGGUUCAAGGAAAAUACACUUGUCACUCAAUUUGGUUCACAACACCAGAAUUCAUUGUCAAAUAUGUGUUGGAUGUGGCCCAUAUGAUUUUUUCAAGGCAAUCCAUAAGAAUACAGUCGAUCCAACGAUUGAGAUGUAUCUGGGCAUGUUCUUGAUGGGCGAAG
rnacentral:lncRNA from 1 species